rnacentral:rRNA from 1 species
CAUUAAAGAGUUCUAUAACUCCCAAACCCAUGUGAACAUACCUAACGUUGCCUCGGCAGGUCGCACCUACCUUGUAGCACCCUACCCUGUAGGGCCUACCCGGGAGGUGCGGGUAAGCCUGCCGGCGGCCCACCAAACUCUGUUUGAUAUUGAAUUCUGAACCUAUAACUAAAUAAGUUAAAACUUUCAACAACGGAUCUCUUGGUUCUGGCAUCGAUGAAGAACGCAGCGAAAUGCGAUAAGUAAUGUGAAUUGCAGAAUUCAGUGAAUCAUCGAAUCUUUGAACGCAUAUUGCGCCCAUUAGUAUUCUAGUGGGCAGGACCGUUCGAGCGUCAUUUCAACCCUUAAGCCUUCGUUGCUUAGUGUUGGGAGCCUACGGCAACGUAGCUCCUCAAAGUUAGUGGCGGAGUUGGUUCACACUCUAGACGUAGUAAUUUUUUAUCUCGCCUAUUAGUUGGACUAAUCCCCUGCCGUAAAACCCCCAAUUUAUCAAGGUUGACCUCGAAUCGGUUCAGACAAACUCGCUAAAUUGAAGCAUCUUAGUCAGCGAAGGAAAAGAAACCAACAGGGAUUGCCCUAGUAACGGCGAGUGAAGCGGCAACAGCUCAAAUUUGAAAUCUGGCCCUCGG